CAAGUCGAACGCGAAAGUUCCCUUCGGGGAACAAGUAGAGUGGCGCACGGGUGAGUAACACGUAGGUAAUCUACCUUUGGAUGGGGAAUAACACCGAGAAAUCGGUGCUAAUACCGCAUAAUGCAGCGGCACCUAAUGGUGACAGUUGUUAAAGCGGGGGAUCGCAAGACCUCGCGUCUAAAGAGGAGCCUGCGGCGGAUUAGCUAGUUGGUAAGGUAACGGCUUACCAAGGCGAUGAUCCGUAGCCGGCCUGAGAGGGCGGUCGGCCACACUGACACUGAUAUACGGGUCAGACUCCUACGGGAGGCAGCAGUCGGGAAUUUUGGGCAAUGGGCGAAAGCCUGACCCAGCAACGCCGCGUGAAGGAUGAAAUCCCUCGGGAUGUAAACUUCGCAAGAACGGGAAGAAUAAGUUGGUGUGAACAUCACCAGCGAUGACGGUACCGUUUGUAAGCUCCGGCUAACUCCGUGCCAGCAGCCGCGGUAAUACGGGGGGAGCAAGCGUUGUUCGGAUUUACUGGGCGUAAAGGGCGCGUAGGCGGCCACCGCAAGUCGAUUGUGAAAUCUCCGGGCUUAACCCGGAAAGGUCAACCGAUACUGCGGGGCUAGAGUGCAGAAAGGGCAACUGGAAUUCUCGGUGUAGCGGUGAAAUGCGUAGAUAUCGAGAGGAACACCUGCGGCGAAGGCGGGUUGCUGGGCUGACACUGACGCUGAGGCGCGAAAGCUAGGGGAGCGAACGGGAUUAGAUACCCCGGUAGUCCUAGCCUUAAACGAUGGAUGCUUGGUGUCUGGGGUUUUAUAGUCCCCGGGUGCC
rnacentral:rRNA from 1 species